rnacentral:rRNA from 1 species
GGAUUAGAUACCCUGGUAGUCCACGCCGUAAACGAUGUGCACUAGAUCGAGGAGGUUCUGACACCAUUCUUGGUCGAAGCGAAAGUGUUAAGUGCACCGCCUGGGGAGUACGGUCGCAAGGCUAAAACUCGAAGGAAUUGACGGGGGCUCACACAAGCGGUGGAGCAUGUGGCUUAAUUCGAAUCAACGCGAAGAACCUUAUCCUGGGUUUGACAUGCACGGAUUAGCUUCCUGAAAGGGAAGUAACGCCUUCGGGUGGAACGUGCACAGGCGCUGCAUGGCCGUCGUCAGCUCGUGCCG